rnacentral:rRNA from 1 species
GAUGAACGCUGGCGGCGUGCCUAAUACAUGCAAGUCGAGCGAACAGACGAGGAGCUUGCUCCUCUGACGUUAGCGGCGGACGGGUGAGUAACACGUGGAUAACCUACCUAUAAGACUGGGAUAACUUCGUGAAACCGGAGCUAAUACCGGAUAAUAUAUUGAACCGCAUGGUUCAAUAGUUAAAGACGGUUUUGCUGUCACUUAGAGAUGGAUCCGCGCCGCAUUAGCUAGUUGGUAAGGUAACGGCUUACCAAGGCGACGAUGCGUAGCCGACCUGAGAGGGUGAUCGGCCACACUGGAACUGAGACACGGUCCAGACUCCUACGGGAGGCAGCAGUAGGGAAUCUUCCGCAAUGGGCGAAAGCCUGACGGAGCAACGCCGCGUGAGUGAUGAAGGUCUUCGGAUCGUAAAACUCUGUUAUUAGGGAAGAACAAAUGUGUAAGUAACUAUGCACGUCUUGACGGUACCUAAUCAGAAAGCCACGGCUAACUACGUG